rnacentral:lncRNA from 1 species
AGGGCUGCGGUUCCUAGAAGCACUGAAAGUCCCUUCCUGCUGCGUGGGCCCUGGGAACGGGAGAAGAAUCAUCACCAGCCAGCAGCUCUGUCACUGGACCGGGGGUGUGAAUACCAGCGUACACCACUGUGACAAUGGCAGCUGCGUGCGUGUCAUCCUCACCGUGAACUGGAGUGACUGUGGGCUGCCGCCUGGCUCCAGGCCCGGGCUCCUCGCUCCCCUCCAUACUCAGGCCUGCACACUCCUGGAGCUUUCUCUCAGUCUGGGAGGCCACUUCUCUGACCCUAAUUCCCAUCUUCACACAAGAAGUUCCAGGCCAUAAGAAAUAAGCUGAAGUCUGAGCUCCUCUGCAACCUCAUCCACAGUAAGCAAAGUGAAACAUGAUCAUUUCACAGAAUUAAAGACUGGGAAGAGCUUCUGAUUUAGGGAGAACAAUUUUUAAAAUGGAUUUGUAUGCAUAACACCCAUUGCGGUUGGUGAUAGUGGAGUCAGUGACUAAUAAAAAUGUCAUUUCCUGUGAUUUUUAUAAAUUACAGUAAAUAUGCCAGUAAUCAUCCACAUUAGCUGCUCAAAUGCAGGCAGCCAUCUGGAGUAGAGGCCAGGGGACCUCAUUGAAGCCUCAAGAGGUAGACCCCACAGGUGCAAAUUGACACCCAGGAAAACAGUAGUUAAUACUCUAGAAUUUGGAGAAAAAGAGAAUGUUAAAAUAAAUGUAUGUCAAGCAGACAAAUUUGGACUUCGCCAGGAGGAUCUGUCACGUCAAACAGGAAAUAGCUAUAAAUUACUUGUAAUAGUAAAAAUCUUGUCAUUUAUA